UACGAAGGGGGCUAGCGUUGCUCGGAAUGACUGGGCGUAAAGGGCGCGUAGGCGGUCAUUUAAGUUCGGGGUGAAAGGUUCAGCGCUCAACGCGAACAGUGCCUUGAAUACUGGGUGACUUGAGUUCGGGAGAGGGCAGUGGAAUUCCUGGUGUAGCGGUGAAAUGCGUAGAUAUCAGGAGGAACAUCGAUGGCGAAGGCAGCCCCUUGGACCUGUACUGACGCUCAUGCACGAAAGCGUGGGGAGCAAACAGG
rnacentral:rRNA from 1 species